GCAGGCUAGGCGGGGGCUAGGGGUCCCCAUCCCGCAAGAUCCCCUUAGCGGGCCGAAGGCAUAGGGUGUCAGCAAGGCCCUCCUGGAGUCUAGAGGAUAUGGAUGAGGAAGGCCUCUCUCAAUAAGCCUGCCUGCUGAACCGGGUCAGGCGUUAUGAGCAGCCCUAAGGCAGGUAGGCUUGUUUGAGGGAGACCCCCUUCCGACAGAGUCCUCUAGACCACCAGGGGUAACCUUGCUGGCUACCUAUGCUGCCUGC
rnacentral:SRP_RNA from 1 species